GGCCGGUUGGCCCAAUGGCAAGGCGUCUGACUACGAUUUCGACUCUCAUCUCCCUCAUCUCAAGCGGAGAGGGUGAGGUUGCACAUCAGUCAUCAGGAGAUUCUGGGUUCGACCCCCAGGCUGGUCA
rnacentral:tRNA from 1 species